rnacentral:rRNA from 1 species
CCUACGGGAGGCAGCAGUGAGGAAUAUUGGUCAAUGGGCGCUAGCCUGAACCAGCCAAGUAGCGUGAAGGAUGACUGCCCUAUGGGUUGUACACUUCUUUUAUAUGGGAAUAAAGUGCAGUAUGUAUACUGCUUUUCAUGUACCUUAUGAAUAAGGAUUGGCUAACUCCGUUCCAGCAGCCGCGGUAAUACGGAGGAUCCGAGCGUUAUCCGGAUUUUUUUGGUUUAAAGGGAUCGUAGGCGGGUUGUUAAGUCAGUUGUGAAAUUUUUGGGCUUAACCGUAACAUUGCAGUUGAUACUGGCAUCCUUGAGUACAGGAGAGGUAGGCGGAAUUCGUGGUGUAGCGGUGAAAUGCUUAGAUAUCACGAAGAACUCUGAUUGCGAAGGCAGCAUGCUGGACUGUAACUGACGCUGAUGCUCGAAAGUGUGGGUAUCAAACAGGAUUAGAUACCCUUGUAGUC